UACGGGGGGGGCAAGCGUUGUUCGGAAUUACUGGGCGUAAAGGGCGCGUAGGCGGCCUACUAAGUCGGACGUGAAAUCCCUCGGCUCAACCGAGGAACUGCGUCCGAUACUGGCAGGCUGGAAUCCGGGAGAGGGAUGUGGAAUUCCAGGUGUAGCGGUGAAAUGCGUAGAUAUCAGGAGGAACACCGGUGGUGUAGACGGCUUUCUGGACCAUAACUGACGCUGAGACACGAAAGCGUGGGUAGCAAACAGG
rnacentral:rRNA from 1 species